rnacentral:rRNA from 1 species
UACGUAGGGUGCAAGCGUUGUCCGGAAUUAUUGGGCGUAAAGAGCUCGUAGGCGGUCUGUCACGUCGGCUGUGAAAACCUGGGGCUCAACUCCGGGCCUGCAGCCGAUACGGGCAGACUAGAGUUCGGCAGGGGAGACUGGAAUUCCUGGUGUAGCGGUGAAAUGCGCAGAUAUCAGGAGGAACACCGGUGGCGAAGGCGGGUCUCUGGGCCGAAACUGACGCUGAGGAGCGAAAGCAUGGGGAGCGAACAGG